UAGAUGAGGAUGAAGCAAAUACCAUUAAUCCAACACUUGAUCUGAGAUAAUCUAUUCGUUUAUCUUUUGAUGUUAUGUGUAGCUUCUGAAUCUAC
rfam:Cucumis sativus cultivar 9930 chromosome 5, whole genome shotgun sequence.